AUGCUGAGGCAGUGCGCAUGCCCAGGGCUGCGAGCCUCCGAACAGUCAUUGGUGUGGGAUGUGUGGGUCGUGUCCCUCCAUUUGGAUUCCUUCUUGCUGUCUGAGACUCAAUUGGCUAAGCAAUCAAGUAAAAAAAAACAUCAGAAGAAAAGGAACCAACAGCCAAGAAUCCAGAUAUUGAGUUUGGACAAGAGAAAGAAGAAGGAGCACAUGUGGUUCAAGGUUGAUGAGGAGAUGGAGAAAAUGUAUUUCAUUUAUGUGGUUAUAUUAGUAACAGAAAUAAAGGGUUUCCUGAAAAUUGGCUGGAAACUUCUUUGGUAAGGGAAAGGUAUAGUUUGCUGCUGACUGCAGUCCCUCUCUGAUAAGUUUUCCUUAUUUCAGCAUUUUACCAUCCCUUAUUUUAAAUUAUUUGGCAUGUUUGGAAAAUACAAUUCCUGCCAAAGCUCUAUAUUAGCAAAUCAAGAGAAACAAAUUAAAUUUAAAUAGAAUUUACACUAUAUUGCUAGUUAGACCUAGCCUUUUUUUGAAUGCUGCUUUCUGGGCAUCUUAAUAGUAUUGAUUUUCUUUUAAUUUGCCUAAUCUGUUUCUCAAUAAUCACUGUAUCUUUUAGAUGCCAAAAAAGAGUAUAGAUCUAUUUUGACUUCUCUAGGUUAGUUCAUUGAUUUUUUAAAUUGUGAGCUAGGAUGAGAAAUGGUAAUAUUGUUCCCUCACAUUUUAAUAUCAUCUAUGAUGGUAGUGGCUUUAUAACUAGUGUGAUCUGUAAUUUUUUUCCUUUGCCAACCAUGUAAUUUUUAUCAUCCAAACCAGAACACUUGAGAGAUGUUGACUGCUUACAUCAGGACAAUAGAUGUAAAUGGAACAGAAUGGCCACCAUACUAUAAACAGACCAUAUAAAGGUUGAACUAGAUCAGUGAAAUAGUUUUGCAUAAAAGAGACAAACAAAAUGGAAUAAUGUCCUUUGCCCUCUCAUUAGUUAAAACAAUUCCAAGUAUGACAUUAUUAUUUUGGCUAAUAUAGAUAAUUAGAAGACUAUUUCAAGUGAACGAAUUUGAAUGACACUGGGUUUACUUGCUUGUUUUGCUUCUUGGAGUUUCUACUUGGUUGAUUUUAUCUGAAAUCACUGGCAGUUUUUACUUGCUACUUAAAAUUAUCUUUAAAUAGUCUCGUGGAAUUUAAUCUCUUCUGGGUUUGAGAAAUCUGUUUCUUCAUACCUCCAAAAAGAAUGAUGCAUUUAAAAAGUUAGUGCUUAAAUGCCUGAAAAUGUACAUUAGCACAGAAGUUUAUGCAGUCAUUAGGCUUCUGGUUUUAGUUUCAUAUUCUAAAACCAAAGCUGUAGCGUCCUUUGUGUACUUUUAUUAUUGUCUAAGUUAAGUUCUGCUAAGUGAUGUACCCAACUGUUAUGUUUAUGUUUUAGGUGAUGGACAGUCAUAAGAAGAAAAGCUGAAGCCACACAACGUUUUGUUUGUUCUAUUGAUAAUUUGGUUUAAAUUUUCUCAAUAAAGAAUUUAAGUUUGCUCA
ensembl:lncRNA